UUGAACGCUGGCGGCAGGCCUAACACAUGCAAGUCGAGCGGCAGCGCGGGGCAACCUGGCGGCGAGCGGCGGACGGGUGAGUAACGCGUAGGAAUCUACCCAGUAGCGGGGGAUAGCCCGGGGAAACUCGGAUUAAUACCGCAUACGCCCUAAGGGGGAAAGCAGGGGAUCGUAAGACCUUGCACUAUUGGAAGAGCCUGCGUUGGAUUAGCUAGUUGGUAGGGUAAAGGCCUACCAAGGCGACGAUCCAUAACUGGUCUGAGAGGAUGAUCAGUCACACCGGAACUGAGACACGGUCCGGACUCCUACGGGAGGCAGCAGUGGGGAAUAUUGGACAAUGGGGGCAACCCUGAUCCAGCCAUGCCGCGUGUGUGAAGAAGGCCUUCGGGUUGUAAAGCACUUUAAGUGGGGAGAAAGGUUCGGCAGCUAAUACCUGCCGGAAGUGAUGUUACCCACAGAAUAAGCACCGGCUAACUCUGUGCCAGCCGCCGCAGUAA
rnacentral:rRNA from 1 species